CAGUUUGUGAUAGCAGCAGUUCCGUUUCUGCCGGAAAAAAUCCUCUUUCGGGAUGUUUUUUAGGGUUUCCUUCAUUCCGUUUCUCGCGGCCACACCCAGGCCGCGAUGAGGACGAGGGUUAUUUGCUUUACACCUGUCAAACACAGAGGAACAGCCACCUUGAAUGUGAAUUCCUUUAAACGUGAAUUUAAAUUUAAACGUAACUAAGGUGUAACUGUGUCCCAAAUGUCACCGUUUCCCAGCCGAAGCGAGGGAUUCAUAAUUAAGCGGUGGCACAUAAUGAGUUUCCCUGCGCUGCCUUCAGCCCGUUCCUGUGGCUCCCCCUCAUGAACUCCCCUAUUUAGAACCGCUGCGUUUGCGCUCAGUUCACGUCGCUUCUCCCUCACGCUGCAUCGACAUUGUUGUGCUGGCCGUUCCCCUCAUGUGACUUGUUUGAAAUCGCUCUUUAUUCGACCGGACGGCGAAAUUUAACCUGUUUUUACGGGUAAUUAACGGACGCCUGCGGUGACGGCGCCUGCACUCCCGCCUCUGUGUGCCGGUUAAUUACUUCCCGGGCGUCAUCGCCGCGCCCGGCACGGAAGUGACGCGUUAGAGCCGCGCUGGUCGCAGUGCCCGGUGGAGGCGGCGACUUUGUUUUUUUAACUCAAAUGGGUGA